AUUUUUUCAUUCGGGUGGAUUUAUCUCGCUUUGGGAGCGUUCGGCGUGGGUGCAGAAAAUUUCCGCGGUUUUCUUCAAAAAUUCGUCAAUUUGAGACUUUGUGGUUUGAGAGUGCAAAAAUGAUGGAAAAUUCACGCAGAAGAGAUGCGAUCGUUUUUGGAACACAAUCAGUGCCCAGGAUGACCAGCCCGGAAGCCUUACCCGGAUGCCCUAUUCAGGAAGCCCUGCCCGGACCCCUACCCGCAUGGCCUGCCUGAAUGCUCUACCCGGAUGCCCUGCCCGCUUUUGCUUUAAUUUUUGACAACAUUCCAAAAUGCGGAAAUGUAUGUUAAUUCUUCUGAUUCGUAUUUUUUCAAAAAAUUCAUUAUUAUUCUAAACUUUUUUUUCCAUAUUUUAGAUCCGUUUGAAGCACAAAACUGUCCGUGCCUGGCUUCAGUCCUCAAUUUCUGGGAUCCGGUCUUACACAACUUUAUGCAACAUAAUUUUCCGGAAAUGGAAGUCCCGGAAGUCACAAAGGUGAAGAGGAGAGAUCAUCUGAAAAGCCGCCCAGCAUCGAAGGAGACAGCAGGAGAAGGAAAAGGCAACGCCGGAUAUAUUUUUUCAAUAUUUUUUUGUAAAUUUUAAAAAUAUUAAA